CCUACGGGAGGCAGCAGCAAGGAAUUUUCCGCAAUGGGCGCAAGCCUGACGGAGCAACGCCGCGUGCCAGAGGACGGCCUUCGGGUUGUAAAUGGCUUUUGUUGGGGAAGAUAUGGACGGUACCCAACGAAGAAGCCCCGGCUAACUCCGUGCCAGCAGCCGCGGUAAUACGGAGGGGGCAAGCGUUGUCCGGACUUACUGGGCGUAAAGCGUGCGUAGGCGGUUGCGUGCGUCGGUGCUGAAAGCGCCCCGCUUAACGGGGUGAGGCGUGCCGAUACGACGCGACUCGAGGCAGUGAGAGGUUGGUGGAAUUCCGGGUGUAGUUGUGAAAUGCGUAGAUACCCGGAGGAAUGUCGGUGGCGUAAGCGGCCAACUGGCACUGACCUGACGCUGAGGCACGAAAGCGUGGGGAGCAAACCGGAUUAGAUACCCUGGUAGUC
rnacentral:rRNA from 1 species